rnacentral:rRNA from 1 species
AGAGCGAACGCUGGCGGCAGGCUUAACACAUGCAAGUCGAGCGGGCGUAGCAAUACGUCAGCGGCAGACGGGUGAGUAACGCGUGGGAACGUACCUUUUGGUUCGGAACAACACAGGGAAACUUGUGCUAAUACCGGAUAAGCCCUUACGGGGAAAGAUUUAUCGCCGAAAGAUCGGCCCGCGUCUGAUUAGCUAGUUGGUGAGGUAACGGCUCACCAAGGCGACGAUCAGUAGCUGGUCUGAGAGGAUGAUCAGCCACAUUGGGACUGAGACACGGCCCAAACUCCUACGGGAGGCAGCAGUGGGGAAUAUUGGACAAUGGGCGCAAGCCUGAUCCAGCCAUGCCGCGUGAGUGAUGAAGGCCCUAGGGUUGUAAAGCUCUUUUGUGCGGGAAGAUAAUGACGGUACCGCAAGAAUAAGCCCCGGCUAACGUUCGUGCCAGCAGCCGC